UACGAAGGGGGCUAGCGUUGCUCGGAUUGACUGGGCGUAAAGGGCGCGUAGGCGGUUCGUACAGUCAGACGUGAAAUUCCUGGGCUCAACCUGGGGGCUGCGUUUGAUACGUGCGGACUUGAGUGCGGAAGAGGGUCGUGGAAUUCCCAGUGUAGAGGUGAAAUUCGUAGAUAUUGGGGAGAACACCGGUGGCGAAGGCGGCGACCUGGUCCGGAACUGACGCUGAGACGCGAAAGCGUGGGGAGCGAACAGG
rnacentral:rRNA from 1 species